UACGGGGGGGGCAAGCGUUGUUCGGAAUUACUGGGCGUAAAGGGCUCGUAGGUGGCCAACUAAGUCAGACGUGAAAUCCCUCAGCUUAACUGGGGAACUGCGUCUGAUACUGGAUGGCUUGAGUUUGGGAGAGGGAUGCGGAAUUCCAGGUGUAGCGGUGAAAUGCGUAGAUAUCUGGAGGAACACCGGUGGCGAAGGCGGCUCUCUGGGACGGUACUGACGCUGAGACGCGAAAGCGUGGGGAGCGAACAGG
rnacentral:rRNA from 1 species